rnacentral:lncRNA from 1 species
UUUGAAUAGCUUGUUUCACAGAGGAAGGAGAUUGGCUCCAUCAUAUUUUUCAAGGUGUAUACCACCACUAAACUAAACAGAAAAGAGACAAGCUUUGCUACAAUGGGGAAAGACAGCAUGCUGCUUUAAAAGUGACAGCUACAUGCUGCAGGUUAACUACUGUAAGCUUUGCCUUUAAAUGAGAAUGAUGGAAUUCUACAGUGUAUGCACCACUCAGUGAUUAUGCUGAUAUCCUCUGAUGCUUUAAAACUCACAAAAGUUUUUUCCUCUAAAUUAUUACCUGAAUUUACUAUUUAUGAUUCAAACAAUCUGCCCUAACUAUUCAUGUAUAUAAUAGAGAUGUAGGACCCGUACUCCUAAUAUUUGAGAAGUUUAGGACUUCAGGGGUAUCCCAAAUUAAAGCCAGCCCAGACUACAUGAGACCUUUCUCCAAAAGUAAAACAAAGAUUUUAAACUCAAUGAAUAAAGCCAGUAUUAAAAACAUCUCUUCAUAUUGUGUGGUAAUGGUGUUUUCUCCUAAUAACCAUGAAAAGGUUUGGCAUUGAUGGCCUGACAUACUGCUCAAAGAGAAAAAAGAAUGGCAUUAUCUUGAAGUGUGUUUACCUGCUUUCAUGUAAAAAAUAAAGUGAAAUUGAAAC